rnacentral:rRNA from 1 species
GAUGAACGCUGGCGGCGUGCCUAAUACAUGCAAGUCGAGCGAAUGGAUUAAGAGCUUGCUCUUAUGAAGUUAGCGGCGGACGGGUGAGUAACACGUGGGUAACCUGCCCAUAAGACUGGGAUAACUCCGGGAAACCGGGGCUAAUACCGGAUAACAUUUUGAACCGCAUGGUUCGAAAUUGAAAGGCGGCUUCGGCUGUCACUUAUGGAUGGACCCGCGUGGCAUUAGCUAGUUGGUGAGGUAACGGCUCACCAAAGCAACGAUGCGUAGCCGACCUGAGAGGGUGAUCGGCCACACUGGGACUUAGACACGGCCCAGACUCCUACGGGAGGCAGCAGUAGGGAAUUUUCCGCAAUGGACGAAAGUCUGACGGAGCAACGCCGCGUGAGUGAUGAAGGCUUUCGGGUCGUAAAACUCUGUUGUUAGGGAGGAACAAGUGCUAGUUGAAUAAGCUGGCACCUUGACGGUACCUAACCAGAAAGCCACGGCUAACUACGUGCCAGCCGCCGCGGUAA